ACACCAUCCAGAGUGGCCGAGAGACCUGGCUCGACGACGCCACAGCAACCACCGCGCAGCGGCAGGUGCUCCCGCCAGGGGCGAUGGAGG
rnacentral:ncRNA from 2 species